AUGGUUUCAAUUCCAUUGAUUUCUCACCUGCCUUUUCUAAUCACAGCCAGUAGUUUGAUGACAGAAAGAGCCAAUGACCUUCCCUGGAAGAUGCCCCUUGGAAACUUUUCUCCUGAGUGGGAGCUGAAAUGGAGAACUCCUGAAGAGAUAACCACCAUGCAAUUCCACCUGUGGCACCAGGAAACAGGUCUAUAGUAAGGUUGGAUUGAGCUUUAAAAUAGUGCUUGGUGUGUGUUAGGCAACCGGUAAAUAAUUGCAUUUGAGAAAUACUACAUGUAUUCCUUCCUUUUUAAAAUUUUCCAACCUUUUGUCCACUAAACAAUUAAUUUAAAAUAAUAACAUAAUAAACAUCUAAGUGCAACAACCUAACUAAAUAAA
rnacentral:lncRNA from 1 species